UCAUGCCAAUGGCACUGCCCGGUAGCUAAAUGCGGAAGAGAUAAGUGCUGAAAGCAUCUAAGCACGAAACUUGCCCCGAGAUGAGUUCUCCCUGAGACUUUAAGUCUCCUGAAGGAACGUUGAAGACGACGACGUUGAUAGGUCGGGUGUGUAAGCGCAGCGAUGCGUUGAGCUAACCGAUACUAAUGAACCGUGAGGCUUAACCUU
rnacentral:rRNA from 1 species